CCAAAAGUUCCAGCUCCCAAAUUUUCCGCGCAGAGGAAAGAACUGGGAUCAGUGAAGAUUGAGGAUCUCCUUCUUCUCAGGUUCACCCUGUCGGAUAUCCCGUAAGGGAGAUAGGUCGCAUCGAAUGUGAACGGUUCGAGAGGAAGAAAUCUUGGCCGCAACCAUGGUCCACCUUGUCGCAAGGGGUUGGAAGUUGGAUAAUGACUUUUGUGCGGGCUAUUUGGGGAUGAUAGAGGACAGUCUUCAUAAUGAAUUCCCCAAUACCGACCCGACCUUAGGGGAACUCCUCAUAUAAACUCCAAGAUUUUUGCUUGGAAGAAGAAUUACGCCGGCCUAAAAGCAAUCCUAUGAAGAAGCGGAGUUGGCUUUAACCCAGACGGGGACUACAAGAUCGAUUGCGACGACGAUCAAUGGGAGGCUAUUGUUCAGGCUGACAAGGACGCCAAGUUUACGAGGAAUAAGUCUUGGCCAUUUUGGGAAACUUGGAAGGUCAUCUUUGGUAAAGACCGCGCAUGUGGUGGCGGGGCUGAAGGUGUAGCCAAUGCUGCUGAACCACCGGGCAAAUCUUGUUACGCUUUGCCACGCUCACCCCCAGUGCAGUAAUGUUUGACAUCUCGUUCGUACUCGUCAAACCACUGAAAUGAUCUAAGAUGCUUGACAUUAGCGGGACACUUCAGGUAAUACCUUCCAAUGUGCAUGGCGCUCUUUCCUACACGGCGUAAUUCCAUCUUGCCCGCA